AAGAGGCAGCUUUUGUCUCGUCUGUCUCCAGACUUUGUACUUUCUCUAGAGUGCUCUUGGCAACCUUUCUUACCUCUUUUGGUAAUACCAUUAAUAGGGCAACAAUUUUCUUCCACACUGUUGUAUCUCCAUUAGAUUUCCAGGCUCUGCUCUGUUGGAAUUAGGAAAUCACCAGCACCCAAAGGAAUCCUAAAGUUCUUACUCCAUCAUAAUGCAGUAAUUUUACUGGUUUACUCUUGUUAGGGGGAUACACUACUUCCCCACUCCUUUAAGUGUUCAUGCAGAAGGAUUUCCAUGACUGCUGACCUCCCCUCUAGGAAGGAGAAGUGAUUUAUUUUGUAGAUAAAUCUGAGAAAUGGUCCUGAGAGUGGGUGAUUCUGCCUUUUCUAGGAUCCCUCUCCAGAUCUACAGGCUGGCAAAAGGGAUAGUGUCUAAUACUGUCUCCUGCUAUGCAGCAAGGGUCCCGUCCCUGAGACGUAAGUCCCUUGUGUCAGUGACCAGAUGCAUCUAAAUAAGAGGAAGAAAGGUAUAAUUAAUGGACCCAUCUCUGGAUAGCCCCCCUAUGCCAGAUGGAACAUGCCAGCAAGCACACAGUGCCAGAUGUGAAAAAAGAAGCAUAUAGCCUAGUGGCUGCUAGCGGACAACUUGCAACCAGCCUGUGGUCAAAACAGACACAUGGAAGAGAGCAGAGCCAAAGGUAUUAUAGACAAAUGGAGUCGGAGCCCUGAUCAAAUGGAUCCUGAAAGCAUAAUGCCUUGGGAGUUGUCAGUUAUGUGAACCAAAGCAUUUCCCUUUAUUGUUUAA
rnacentral:lncRNA from 1 species